UAAAAAAAAAAAUUAGAGUUAAAAAAUAAAUCUAUUUUGGUGCAAAAAUAUUAAAAAUGUACAUAUAGUUUUCUCUAUAGUAUGCAUUUUCUAUAGCUUUUUGAAGACCCUUGUACUUAUUUCCACUGUUAACCUUGGUCUUGGUAAGCAUUUUGGUUUCUAAAAAAAAUUUGUUUUCACUUCAAAUGACUCAUUGCUUGUGUCCAAUUUUACACUUGAUAGUGUUCAAUUCUGAGAUGCUGGCAAUAGAGAAGAGAUUUUGAAACCAAGUCUUUGUUUUAUCACCUUUGUUCUUGUCCUCUCCAUGCCUGCCAUGUGUGGUCUGGUGACUAUUUUGUUCAUUGGAUGAAUGAAUAAAUGAGUGAAUGGGAGAUCAUGAAUAGGAACUCUGUGUGGCCUUCAAAGCUGUUGUUAUUCUUCUACCUUCUCUCCUAUCUCUAAACAAAGUCAGCUCCAUUCUUUUAAAUUCUUCUAUUUGUAAGUCCUUUUCUACUCAUUCUCCGUACUCCUUCCUGUCUGUCUACAAGUUAGAGAACAUAUACAGAUUCUGUCUGAAGGCAGAUUGGAAAUUGCAAAGCAGUUUGAGACCUGCAUCCUGGCUGAAAUUUUGUGGCACUGACCCAGUGAUGAUUGGGCAAGAGGACCACUUACAUCUUCUCUAAAGUAGAGGUGCCUUGACAUUGCACUUGGGACAACGUUAAGUUUAAUACAUUGUCCUGAUUCAUGAGUUGGGAAUCAUAAGGAUUUCUAGCCUAGACUCCUAUAGUAGUUUCUGCAAGGACUUGCUGUAUCAUCAUUAUUACUAUGAUUACUAUUCUAUUCAUCACAGUAAAACUUUAGAAACCAAGAUUUUCAUCCUCUUGACUUGUCUUCUGUUUGAACUUGUGCUAGGAAUCCCUGAUACUGAGGGAUAAAUACUUGGCUUGUAGGCUUCAAGCCCUGAGUGAUGUUCCACUGACUUGUAUUCCUCUUAUCAGUCCCAGCCAGAGGAAUGCAAAGCCUGGGGGAAAGAGGCAAAACUCAUGACAGAUAAGUGUUCUAAUCUUGGCCUUGUGGGAGUAAGAGGCCUCAGGAAAGCAAGAUAGCAUGCUGGAGUCAUGAUGACUUCCAAGCCCCAGAAGCUUCUCUGAAGUCACCCUGUCAAUAAAGCAAAUGGAAACUGGGAAGCCACCUUCCAAAAAUAGGUCUUUUCUUCUUGACCAUGAAGACUCAGUGCUUGGUGGUAGCUCCCAAUGAAGUGAUCAGGAGAUGUCAGGAAGAGCAUGACUCCUAUGGACAAUGGAGAUGAUGCAUUAGUCACCAAGCUCAUCGACCUCUGCUUUAGAACGCUACACCGUCUUCACUAGAGUGGAACCCAUAGUGCUUGGUUCUGGCCACAAGAAAAAUCUUUGUAUCUUUGUAAUAAUCCCUUAAAGAAAUGAAUACUAUUUUAUGCUUUUUCCUAUGCUACUGUCCAGUCUUUAAGUUGUCUGUAUUUCUGUUUUUUGUUUUGAAGACCAAGGGCUUCCUAGACACUACGUAAACCUGUUUCUUUCCAACUUUGAUUCUGUUAUUAUAACUUCCCAUUUCCCUUGCCGUUUCAUUAAUCUCCAUUAAAGCUUCUGUUUACUCUGCUUUCUCCUUAUUAGCAUUCAUGAACAUUUAAGAUGCUUCCAGUCCUUAAAAACCAAUAAGUUCCCAAGUAUGUGAUGGAGAUACAAUACACUAUCUUGACUUUCCUUUUGCCUUAUUAACGCAUCACAUAAUGUGCUUUAUUUUUUAUACUAGAAUAUAAACUCUCCAAGGAA